rnacentral:rRNA from 1 species
GACGAACGCUGGCGGCGUGCUUAACACAUGCAAGUCGAACGGACAGGCCCUGCUCUUGUGCGGUGCUCGUGUGGCGCACAGGUGAGUAACACGUGAGUAACCUGCCCUUGUCUUUGGGGUAACUUCAGGAGACUGGGGCUCAUACCGGAUAGGAGCUCCUGCUGCAUGGUGGGGGUUGGAGAGUUUCGGCGGUUGGGGAUGGAUUCGCGGCUUAUCAGCUUGUUGGUGGGGUAGUGGAUUACCAAGGCUGUGACGGGUAGCCGGCCUGAGAGGGUGACCGGCGUCAUGGGGACUGAGAUAGGGCCCAGAAGCGAACGGUAGGCAACAGGGGAGAACAUGACAGAACGGCGGGGAGCGUGAUGCGGCAGCGCUGCGUGCGGGAUGACGGCCUUUUGGUGGUAAACCGAUGUGGCAGGAGACAUAGCGGGAGUGACGGUAAUGAGUAAGGAAGCACCGGCUAACUACGUG